CCUGGACGAGUAAUUCAAAGAUCUCAAAAUAGAAAGGAUCUAGCCCGGACAGGUGUUCCUUGAGUGAUCAAGCCUCCCGAAGAAUAUGGGUGCAUUAAGGAUUUAGCCCAGACGGGUAAUCCGACUGAGGUCUGAAUUUAGCCUGGACUGCCAAUUAGGAUCCGAACUUAUGAAAGCAAUUGUCGUAAAAGGGGAUUUAGCCUAGACUGGUAAUCAU
rnacentral:lncRNA from 1 species